GCUGGGUGCUGUGGUGCACACCUGUCAUCCCUGUGACUUGGGAGGCUGAGGCAGGAGGAUCACAAAGUGGAGGCCAGCCUCAGCAACUUAGCAAGGCCCCGAGCAACUCAGUGAGACCCUGUCUCUA
rnacentral:sRNA from 1 species